AAGCAUGGUCAAGCGCCCCUAGCGUCACUUUUAUGACGCCAAAUGUGCCUCUCGGCGUCGACUAUCGAAGCACUACGACCUUCAUUGCUUUCAGUGGGAAACUUUUGGCGUCAGAAUUCGACACGAGGACAUGAGAUGUUUAUCGCUAUGAAAUCACGUUCAAGAAGUCUCAUUCAGCACACAUCGCGCGAUACUUGCUAUCAGUUCAACAGUUUGGCUGAAAAGACGUAAAGGCAGUCAGCCCAGUGGUGUUUCUGGAGAGGGAUUCCUUCAGAAAUGGAGAAGACCGAAAGCUGCGGAGGCAGAUAUUUGCAGCAUGUUCGAGUGAGCAUGAUGACCACAAGUGUGUGUCAAACUUUUCAUGACCUGAUGACUGUGUUUCCCAAUCCUGAUCCUGGAGAACCCCAGCACUGCACGGUUUUGGCGUCUCUCUUAUCUGCCUUGGAGUCUUCACUGAUGAGCUGAUGAGUUGAAUCAGGAUUGUUUGAGGAUAACACUGCAGUUCUCCAUCAUGCACAAGGACUCACCUCGUUAACUCUUUAUCCCCCACACACACAGAUAUGGUCCCUGGAUCAGUGAUUAAACUUUGCAGUGGUUUGAUUUUUGCAGAAGAUGUAACUUUGUUUUAUUUAUAAGCUCAUAAUGAAUACAUUACAGAACCAGUGAUGAAAACAAUAGUUAAAAAUAGUAUUUUUCGUAUUGAUAAAGCAUUUUGUUCUCUUUUUCAAGCUUCAUACAGUGAACUUUUUAGACUUUAAUUAAGAGUUUUAGUAAAGGAGAUAUUCAUACACAGUCAUCCCCUAGCUCCAGUCAUGAAGUGAAAUCAUGAUGUUAUUGUCAAAGCUAGCAGGUGUUUGUUUUCCUGAACACUUUCUCUGUCUUCCAUUGUUCAGACAAUCAGUGUUUAUUUGAUGCUGUGCUGAUUGAGUUUUAUAGAUGAUAUUGCACACUUGACAUGCAUGUAUUCAUGGUGUUUUUUUGUGAGUUUGAAACAUUUACAUUGUGUUGUAUAACAUUUUGGUCAAUUUAAUUUUUUUAAUAAAAUUGAUCUUUUUCCAGUGUUCUCUGAAAGACAUACUGUAUUUACUGUUUUGUUUUUUAAUAAAAGCAUUUUCAUUUGCAUACUGAAAAUAGUUAAUGUUUACAACAUAACUGCCUUUUUAUUCUUUAUGGUGGCAAAAACGAGCUUGGUGACAGAGGAUGCAGUGUAGUAAUUUGGGCAUGUUGUCUUUAAAUGAGUUUGACAUAUCAAUAAAUAUUGGAAGAUCCUUACAAAAAUAUGCAUGUUUAUUAUGCUUUAUGUAAUUAUUUGUUCAUUCAUUCAUUCAUUAAUUUAUAAUUUCUGUUUUUAUUCCUAGGGUUCAAAUGGUAGAGAAUGGUAAAUCACAGAAACACAAAUGUGAACAAUUUUAACUUUAAAACACAAUGUAAUAUACAAUGUAAAUUUUAGAAGCACG